rnacentral:rRNA from 1 species
UACGUAGGCAGCGAGCGUUGUUCGGAGUUACUGGGCGUAAAGCGUGCGUAGGCGGUGGACCAAGUCUGGUGUGAAAUCUCCCGGCUCAACCGGGAGGGUGCGCCGGAAACUGGUUCGCUGGAGUGCGGGAGAGGCAAGCGGAAUUCCAGGUGUAGCGGUGAAAUGCGUAGAUAUCUGGAGGAACACCCGUGGUGCAGACGGCUUGCUGGACCGUGACUGACGCUGAGGCACGAAAGCGUGGGUAGCAAACAGG